rnacentral:rRNA from 1 species
GAUGAACGCUGGCGGCGUGCCUAAUACAUGCAAGUCGAGCGAACAGACGAGGAGCUUGCUCCUCUGACGUUAGCGGCGGACGGGUGAGUAACACGUGGAUAACCUACCUAUAAGACUGGGAUAACUUCGGGAAACCGGAGCUAAUACCGGAUAAUAUAUUUAACCGCAUGGUUCAAUAGUGAAAGACGGUUUUGCUGUCACUUAUAAAUGGAUCCGCGCCGCAUUAGCUAGUUGGUAAGGUAACGGCUUACCAAGGCGACGAUGCGUAGCCGACCUGAGAGGGUGAUCGGUCACACUGGAACUGAGACACGGUCCAGACUCCUACGGGAGGCAGCAGUAGGGAAUCUUCCGCAAUGGGCGAAAGCCUGACGGAGCAACGCCGCGUGAGUGAUGAAGGUCUUCGGAUCGUAAAACUCUGUUAUUAGGGAAGAACAAAUGUGUAAGUAACUAUGCACGUCUUGACGGUACCUAAUCAGAAAGCCACGGCUAACUACGUG